AGGAUGAACGCUGGCGGCGUGCUUAACACAUGCAAGUCGAACGAUGAAGCCUAGCUUGCUGGGUGGAUUAGUGGCGAACGGGUGAGUAACACGUGAGUAACCUGCCCCUGACUCUGGGAUAAGCCUGAGAAAUUGGGUCUAAUACCGGAUAUGAACACUUAUCGCAUGGUGGGUGUUGGAAAGAUUUUUUGGUUGGGGAUGGGCUCGCGGCCUAUCAGCUUGUUGGUGAGGUAGUGGCUCACCAAGGCGACGACGGGUAGCCGGCCUGAGAGGGUGACCGGCCACACUGGGACUGAGACACGGCCCAGACUCCUACGGGAGGCAGCAGUGGGGAAUAUUGCACAAUGGGCGAAAGCCUGAUGCAGCGACGCCGCGUGAGGGAUGACGGCCUUCGGGUUGUAAACCUCUUUCAGUAAGGAAGAAGCGAAAGUGACGGUACUUGCAGAAGAAGCGCCGGCUAACUACGUGCCAGCAGCCGCGGUAAUACGUAGGGCGCGAGCGUUAUCCGGAAUUAUUGGGCGUAAAGAGCUCGUAGGCGGUUUGUCGCGUCUGCCGUGAAAGUCCGGGGCUUAACUCCGGAUCUGCGGUGGGUACGGGCAGGCUAGAGUGCAGUAGGGGAGACUGGAAUUCCUGGUGUAGCGGUGAAAUGCGCAGAUAUCAGGAGGAACACCGAUGGCGAAGGCAGGUCUCUGGGCUGUAACUGACGCUGAGGAGCGAAAGCAUGGGUAGCGAACAGGAUUAGAUACCCUGGUAGUCCAUGCCGUAAACGUUGGGCACU
rnacentral:rRNA from 1 species